UACGUAGGGGCGAGCGUUGUCCGGAUUUACUGGGCGUAAAGGGAGCGUAGGCGGACUUUUAAGUGAGAUGUGAAAUACCCGGGCUCAACUUGGGUGCUGCAUUUCAAACUGGAAGUCUAGAGUGCAGGAGAGGAGAAUGGAAUUCCUAGUGUAGCGGUGAAAUGCGUAGAUAUUAGGAGGAACACCAGUUGCGAAGGCGGCUCUCUGGACUGUAACUGACACUGAGGCACGAAAGCGUGGGGAGCAAACAGGAUUAGAUACCCGGGUAGU
rnacentral:rRNA from 1 species